UGCUUAUUGAAAACUUUUCCCAAUACCCCGCUAUGACGACUUGAAAUACAGUCGGCAUUGGCAAUUUUUGACAGUCUCUGCGGAGA